rnacentral:rRNA from 1 species
UCAGAUUGAACGCUGGCGGGCAGGCCUAACACAUGCAAGUCGAGCGGAUGAGUGGAGCUUGCUCCAUGAUUCAGCGGCGGACGGGUGAGUAAUGCCUAGGAAUCUGCCUAGUGGUGGGGGAUAACGUUCGGAAACGGACGCUAAUACCGCAUACGGUCCCUACGGGGAGAAAGCGGGGGGAUCUUCGGACCUCGCGCCAUUGGAUGAGCCUAGGUCGGAUUAGCUAGUUGGUGAGGUAAUGGCUCACCAAGGCGACGAUCCGUAACUGGUCUGAGAGGAUGAUCAGUCACACUGGAACUGAGACACGGUCCAGACUCCUACGGGAGGCAGCAGUGGGGAAUAUUGGACAAUGGGCGAAAGCCUGAUCCAGCCAUGCCGCGUGUGUGAAGAAGGUCUUCGGAUUGUAAAGCACUUUAAGUUGGGAGGAAGGGUAGUAACCUAAUACGUUGCUACUUUGACGUUACCGACAGAAUAAGCACCGGCUAACUUCGUG